rnacentral:sRNA from 1 species
UAUUAUGUGUACCUAGUUUGACCACGAA